CCAAACAAAAUCUAAGACCAGU
rnacentral:miRNA from 1 species